GACGAACCGUACGAACGUUAUUAGGAAUCACUGGGCUUAAAGGGUGUGUAGGCGGCGCUGAAAGUUGGGUGUGAAAUCCCUCGGCUUAACCGAGGAAUUGCGCCCAAAACUACAGUGCUUGAGGGAGAUAGAGGUGAGUGGAACUUAGGGUGGAGCGGUGAAAUGCGUUGAUAUCCUAAGGAACUCCAGUGGCGAAAGCGACUCACUGGGUCUUCUCUGACGCUGAGGCACGAAAGCUAGGGUAGCGAACGGG
rnacentral:rRNA from 1 species